GAAAACUAAGGCAAAUAGAAGCAUAAUGACUUGCUUCUGGCUCUAAAUCUCAAGCUCCCAAGAGGACCUAAUGAUGCUAGAUGUAAAUGGAUGCCCAUCAGUUGACGCAUGGAUGCAAUAGAAUAUUAUUGUCCCAUAAUAAGUGAUGGAUAUGAAGAAUAUAAAAAAACCUCAAGAUUUGCAUGCACCGACACAAAAGGAAUCUACAAUAACUAGGAAACCAGAGAACGAGGCUCAUUCCAAUUAAUGGUGAGUGGCCCGUGGAUCAGACCUAAGGGGAUCUUCAGAGUAACGUAAAUGACUUUGGACUGCUUGCCAUUCGUUGGCUAAAAUCAGAAGCAAUGGAAGGAAGCUGCAAAUAAGCCACAUUAGGCUUGAAGUUGAGAAUAACUUACUAAUAAGAAGCAUCCCAAAGUGCUUAUAGAGGUGGACUGCUCUCACUCCCUGGAGGUCUUCAAGCAGAGGCUAGUCAACCACUUCUCAGGUACAUUAUAGCAGGAUUCCUUUCACGUGUGGAUUGGACUGGACUGGAAUUCUAUGAUUCUGGGGGUAUGUGAGCUUUGUUGCCUUGAACAGUGGAGGGAUGGCUUUUUAGGAUAAGAGAAAUUGGGUCUGAAUCCUGGCUGUGUCAUUUAUUAUCUGCAUGGCUUUUAUAAAGUCUCAACCACUCCUAACCCAUUCUCUCAAUAUAAAAUGAGGCGACUGGAUUAGAUGAUGUCUGAAGUCACUUUGAUUUCUUAGACCCAUGAUCCUAAGAUCCUUUCACUAGAGCAUUGGAGGACUAUAGGUGUUGAAAGUGUUGCAUACACUGACAGACAAUGCUGGCUGCUUUUGUUUCUGUCAGGCAGGCAGUCAACAAGCAUUUGUCAGGCACCGA